UUUUUCCAUUGUCUAUUAAAAAAUCUUGAGGUAUGGGCCGCAAUUCCGUUAAUCAAUUGAUAAUGAAUACUUAUUACUACUUAACAAGGGUCCAGGUUAAUACUGAGUGACGAAACAACUUAAAUAGUUAUUUUCACACAUUUAUAAUGUAAUUAAAGCAUGAGAAUAGAUUAUGAAAUUAGACAAUUUUACAACUUAUUUAGGUAUAUCGCCUCGCUGUAUAAGAAAUAGUCUUUCGAACGAUUUGAAACUGCGACAAUUUCAGCUCUCAACUAAUAUUCAAAAUGAAAUUCUUCGAGUUGGCAUCUAAUUUUCUUGUAUUCCUCGUUUUAUUCAACGUUGAUGUAUUGAACGAGAAUCAACGCGUUUUAAAUGUAAACAUAGCAGGCCUAACAGUCAACAAUGAUGGUCUACACGUGGGCUAAGGCUAAGCUUGAGAUUGUAAUUAAAUUUGAUGCACGGAAUUAUAUAAAACCAAGUUUCUAUAAAUAAAUAAAUAAUUGCAAAAUCUGUCAUGACCUGUUCUUUUUUAUUAUUAAAAAAAAACUAGCCCUUCAUCAGAGGCCGUAACAUCGUUUAUAAGUCGAUAAUGAAUACUUAUUGCUAUUUUACUGAAGUUUUUUUUCGCUUAUAAUACAAGUUAUGUACGAUAAUUAGUCAAUUUGACAACGCAUUUAAGACGAUCGCUUUGUUGAUUGAGAAAUAGUCGCUCGAGAGAUUUCGAUCUGUAACAAUUUCAGCUCCCAACUGAUAUUCAAAAUGAUGUUCUUCAAGCUGGCAUCUCAUUUUCUUGUACUUCUUACUUUACGAAAUGCUGAUGUAUUGGCAGAGCAGAAUCGCUUUUUACAUAUAAAUGUACCAGACGCAACAAUCCACAAUGGUGGCAUAUACAUAGAUUGGGAUCGUAAAUAAAUUAGAUGCUUGCCGACUGUAUAAAAAGAAGCUUCUAUAAGUAAAUUAAGAUAUUGCAAUGUGAAAUUUUGCGAGGCUUGCUUUUUUUUCAUUGUCUACUAGAAAAUCUUGAGAUAUGGGCCGUAACACCGUUUAACGGUUGAUAAUGAAUACUUAUUGCUAUUUAAGAAGGGUCCAGGGGAAUACUGAGAGACGAAACAGCUCUAAUAAAUAUUUUCACACAUUUAAGCAUGAUAAUUAGGUAAUAAGACAAUUUCUUAACAUAUUGAAGAAUAACGCAUCGAAGUAUAAGAAACAGUCUUUCAAGCGAUUUGAAACUGUGACAACUUCAGCUCUUAGCUAAUUAAAAUGAAAUUCUUCAAGUUGAAGCCCCAUUUUCUCAUAUUCCUUGCUUUACGCAACACUGAAAUAGUAGUAAGCCAAUUUCGCUUUUUAGAUUUAACCGUACCCAUCUUUACAGUCAACGUCGGUGGUAUACACGUAGGCUAAGCUAAUAAGUUAUUUGCAUGGAAUUGUAAAAAACUAGGCUUCGAUAAUAAAAUAUAUAGUUUUUCUAUGUAACAUUAUGUCAGGUCAUAUUUUUUCUCAUUAUUUAUUAAGGAAUCUUGAAGUAAUAAUAAAAAAUAGUAGUUGUUGAUCUUUGGAGCAAGCCGAGGGAAAUACUAACAGCCGAAACAGCUCUAAUAUAUUUUUUUUCACACAUUUUUACGCCCAUAAUGCAAUUUAAGUAUAGCAUACUAGCUUAAAGGUUCUAAACUGUAUUUAAAAAUAUCGGUUCGUUGCAUUAGAUAGUCUUUGAAGCGAUUUCUAAUUGUGACAACGUCAGCUCUCAAGUGAUUUUAAAAUGAAAUUCUUCAAGUCAAAAUCUGCUUUGCUUCUCUUAUUUGUCUUAUGCGUCGGCGCUGUUUCACCAGAGCCGCGUCCCUUUUUUGAUUUAAGCUUUCCACUCUUCACACUCGACAUUGGUGGUAUAACAAUCAACCGAAAAUCAAAAGUUCAACCUUUUCAAUAAAUUUGAUUUAUGGAAUUGUAUAUCAAGUUUUUAUUGAGGAAUGAAGAAUGUGGGAUCAAAUUUCUUCUUUCCGUUAUUUAAUAAUCAUAUUUUAGGUUCUUCUCAAGCUGCUGUAAUAUCGUUAAUAAAUCGAUAAUGAAUAAUUAUUGCUAUUUACCGCAAGUUGAGGGGAAUACUAAGAGGCGAAAAGUCUUUAAUAGUUGUUUUUAGCUUAUAAUACAAUUUAUAUAUGCUAAUUAAGUAAUUGGACAAUUUCACAGCGUAUUAAAGAAUAUCUCUUCGAUGCAAAAGUAAUAGUCUUUCAAGCGACUUCUAAUUGCGACAACGUCAGCUCUCAACUGAUUUUAAAAUGAAAUUCUUCAAGUCAAAAUCUGCUUUGCUUCUAUUCUUUGUUUUAUGCAUCGGUGCUGUUUCACCAGAGCCGCGUCCAUUUCUUGAUUUCAGCUUUCCAGUUCUUUCAGUCGACGUUGGUGGUAUAAAAGUCACUCAAAAAAAGCCAGCUGCACCUUCUCAAUAAAUUCGAUUUAUGGAAUUAUAUGAAAACUAGUUUUUAUUAAGGAAUGCAGAAUGUUGGAUCAAAUUUCCUUGUAAUAUUUUGCUUCUCUCAGUUAGCUAAUAAGCAAAUUUAUAUUCAAGGCUCUUCAGCGGCAUCCGUAUCGUUUAUAAGUCGAUAAUGAACAGUUAUUGCUUUUACAGCAACUAAUUUUCAAAAUGAAAUUCUUGAUUUAUGUGCCAGUCUCUACUAAGGGACUCGGUUGAUUUAGGGACUCAGGACUUGUUUUCUUUCUAUUUAUUAAUUCAAAAUCUUAAGCUACAACAGAGGGCGCAACAUUGCUAAUAUAUCGAUAUUGAAGAGUUAUAUACUAUAGGAAUGCCCAGUGUUUGUGCUAUCGUGUUUGAUGUUGAUCUUUGCGUUGAGAAUACCCGCUGGCUUUCACAUUGGGUUUUUUGUCUUGCCUUGGGAAUUACUUUGCCUUGGGGAAUUACUUUCGCUUUCUUGCUGAACGUUAAUUCCAAGCUGAUAACAGAGAUUAGAAUAAAUAGGUCGUCGCAUUGCUGAUUAAUUUGAAGUCUUCCAGGUGAGCUCAAGCUGUGACAGCUUCAUCUGCCCGCAAACUCCCUAUAUAUUUGCUAAAACAUUCUUACCUAUACUCGAUAUGAAAUACUUUAAGUUUCAGUGGCUUUUUAUUGUUGGCAUCUUUUUGUGCCUCAGCGAUGUUUUGGCAGCACCAAAGCGCAAAGUAAAGCCCCGCUUCAAACUGCCAAAAAUAAAUAUAAAUAUACAUCACAAUAAUAUUCACAUUGGCUAAGCUGCAGUUUGUUUGUUUUGUAUUUAUAUGUAUUCAAAUAAAGUUGUUAAGUGUAUAUAAAUGUU